rnacentral:lncRNA from 1 species
AUUUUGUUAUAGUGUGACAGAAAGAGACUGUGAAAAGCAUUGCGUCUUACUCUACCUUCUCCACUACAUCCAGUCUGUCAUGAAGAGUACUGUGGUCCUGACAGGCACUCGACCGGACAGCUCUGGGUUGGAGCUCAGACUCAGGUCCUGAUCGAAAACAUAAAGCAGACGGCAUCAUUUUCCAUACAAUACAACAUUAUUUCUAACAGUAUUUCUGAUAUUGUCUUUACAUUACAACACCUUAGUAUCCUACAUAGAGCCUAGACUAUAGGAUACAUUGUAGUAUGUAUGGACCCCAAUACCCAGCACAGCAAAAUUCUCAAAUACUCCCUCGGCCUGAGAAUACACAGUGUAUUUUUGUCUACUAUCUCUAUCCACAGCUUGAGUUCCAUUAUAAAUCUUCAUCCAGCUAAUCUCUAAAGGUCACCAAAACAAGUCUUUCUUGUCUCCUCUCUUGCUCCUUCCUCUCUCUCUCCCUCUGACUGGUUCACAGCCCGUUCCAAGUGUUUUCUAUUACCUCUACAUCUCUGCUCUGCAGGCAGCCUGCAGCCCAGCCAUCCAGUUCACCACAACCUCUGACCACAUGCCAUUCUGUUGACAUCACACUGCCACAAACUGAGUUGGGAUCAGUUCACCCUCACUCUCACCAGUACGUAACCCAGUUUGUUUAGAAGAGAUGCCGCUGAUCCAGGGUUAGCAUUAAGGAGCAGCGUCACUGCCUGUGUUUUACCUGUACACCUUUAGGCUUAGUAGUCUACUACUAGAAAUGGCAUAGCUUUGAUGCAACCCUUUGUCUGGAAGGGAAGGCGGUCUCACUUUAAAUCAAGCUUGAACCUUUAUGGGUUGGGUGUGGUGAAGAAACCUCCAUAUACAUUGUUCCACCAGGUUUUUUCUCUUUGUCAUCCAGGUUUCAUGGUUCCAAUUAACCACCCAGACCCUUUUGAAGAGCCCCCUAUUUUCUCUGGGAGCUGAAACUCUGGUCUAUGCCGAUGAAUGUGGCUGGGAUGUGCGGUCCAUAUGUCUGUGAAGACAAGUUUCUUCUUAAUAAUUAGUGGAGCAUAGACCAUGCAUAAUCUCUUGCAUGGUGUCCUUUCUAUUCUCUUCAGCCACACUUCCUGUUGCAUCUGGUUUCCAUCACAUCACAGAACUGUUUAACAUAGGUCUUUAAGCUAGACAUUUCUUACUUACUAUAUAUUGUCCCAGGCCCUUGUGCACACUGAAGGGUAUUACAAACACAAGACAAAGACAUUUACAUACAACAUACUAUAUACUGCAUACAGAGAUACUGGAUAUAAUGACGAGAUGCCUAUGUCUUCGCUCUAACAAUGGGAUUCGUAGUCCACUUAGCGGAACGGCAAGCUCUCAAGCUCUCGCCUUUUACUCUCUUUGGAUAGGUGGAUGCAUCUUGUUAUUUGAAUACUAUUUUGAACAUUCGAUGGUGGGUGUUGACGUCAACCGCCUGUAUUCAAUGGAAAGUGAGAUGCUAUGCUAGUCUCAUGAAUAUGCUAGUCUCAUGAAUAGACCGUCUCCGAUAUAAAGUGUGUUUUCUCUAAGUUGCCGCGAUGUCGCGUGCAUCACACUUUUAUCAGUACACUCUUAACAGCCUAAGCAGUACGAAACUUCUAUUCGAUAAAAUAAGCCUCAUGUACCAAAAUAGUAAUACAUGUUUAUCUUGACUAAAUUCUGCUUGCCCCCCAUACAAACACUGCUCACUUGCUUAAUAAAUAAUGAUCUUCUGAACGUGGAGAGAUUUUAGGCCGAGUAAACCCUCUCGCUUCGCCUCUUCUUCUCUGAUAUAUAGCAGUCUAUUAGGUGUUGAAUUUGGCCUCAUAUUUCUAGUUGUCUAUUCCCUGCCUGUCAGAAAAUGAACACAAGAUAAGGACCAUUUAUUUUCCCGGCGUCAUGACUGUCCUCCAGCGUCCUGUGAAUAGCAGCCAUUGAUUACUGGUUGUGCUGUUUUUAUGGAGCUAUCCCGCGGUACAAUUUCAUAAGCUCCAUUACAACACCACUGAUCAUAUCUAGGACAAAAGCCAAGGAAACCCAAGGGAUGAUUGUAAGAUAGAGCUCCUCUUUAGAUUUCUCUCAAUAAACACACCAGGUGUCUCUGCAUCAGUACUACAGCAUGUACACAGACAUAAGCACCCUUCAUUUUCAGUAAAUUAAACUCAUCUGAGUGUAUGAGCCAGUUGGCAAACUACAAUAGCUAAGGACUUUUUUUUCUUAGGAAGACGUGUCACAUGUGAGCAUCGAUUGAUCACAUUCUGUGUUUAGCACGUGACACAGCGUGUGCACGCACGCACAUUCGGUGCACACACAAACAAAGACGCACACAAACACACACACACAGUGGAUGCUGUCUCAGUUGGAUAGUUAUGUGACGUAUGUAACCUAAACAUAGUGGUUUGCUGUUGAAUGCCAGAAUUCCCUGCUCUGCCAGUUUAAACAGCCUGUGCUGCUCCUAGUUUGGUUAUCAACAUGGAGGGGAACCAAAAGACCCUAAGACUGCAGCUGAAGAUUGUCAGGGAAGUGUGUUCUGAGCCAAUUGUAAUUUUCCAAGGUCGUUCUUUGUGGCACCUGACCAUACGACUGAACCAGUGGAGGCUCCUCAGGAGAAGAAAGGGGAGUACUAUCUGUGUUGAGAAGCUUGUCAAAUCCUGUCCUGCACUGAAGUCAAGCCUCUGAACACCUCAACUCAGGCCUCAUACCCUCAUUCAAUCACUGCUGUGAUCCCUUCCAAACACUGUCUGCACCAGGAGAAAUACUGACCCACACACUCAGAGGAAACAGGCCAUAUGAAAGGAAAACACAACAGCCCACAAGAGUCUGAUCUAACACCCUCCGCCCUGGGAGACAGGUUUGGAAGAUGGUGUGUGUGUGUGUGUGUGUGUGUGUGUGUGUGUGUUGGCCUGUCUCUGUGGGGUGUUCAUGUUCACAUGUGUGUUUGCACUGGCCACAGGAGACAGGGCAAGUUGUGCAGUGGAGUGAAUACUGAAGAAUACAGCCAGAGCAUUAGGUCAGUUUGUACACAACACCAGUGGUCCCACAAACCAGAGCUUGCCUAAUACAGACCCGCCCAUGGAAAAGAGACUAACAAGCUGUUAGUCAGAUCUCCAGAGUAUUUCCUGAAUCAAUAUUGGGUUGGCAGAGAGAGCAAGAACUAGUGUGUGGUUCCAUGUGUUGGCCAUUCCUUGUGUAUGAAGUCACACUCAAGCCCAAUCAUCUCUGGUUUCUCAUAAGUCCUCAAAGAGUAGGAUAUGGAGGGGGGGCUAAAAUGUUUACGAUUUUCAUUGAGCAGUAAACAAGAUUGGAAUGAUAGACAAACAUUAGACAUAUAAGGAUAAAAUAGAAGAUUUUUGUAAAAAAUGCAAUACUGAUGAGGACUACAUGGAGAAAGGUCAAUGCUGCAUUAAACAUAAGAAAACAGAUGUUUUAACCUCACGAGUACAAUCUCUCUCUCUCUCUCUUUCUCCAUACAGUACCAGUCAAAAGUUUGGACACACCAACCUUUUCCAAAUUCGUACUAUUUUCUACAUUGUAGAAUAAUAAUGAAGACAUCACAACUAUGAAAUAGCACAUAUGGAAUCUUGUAGUAACCAAAAAAGUGUUAAACACCUCAAUUACAUCGACUAAGGAAGACCUCAAUUACCUCGACUAACCGAUGUCCAUGCACAUUGACUCUGUACCAGUAUCCCCCUGUGUAUAGUCUCGCUAUUGUUAUUUUACUGCUGCUCUUUAAUUACUUGUUACUUUUACUUCUUAUUCUUAUCCAUAUUUUGUUUUUAACUGCAUUGUUGGUUAGGGGCUCGUAAGUAAGCAUUUCACUGUAAGGUCUACACUUGUUUUAUUCGGCGCAUGUGACUAAUACAAUUUGAUUUGAACAAAUUAAAAUAUAUUUUAUAUUUGAGAUUCUUCAAAGUAGCCACUCUUUGCCUUGAUGCCAGCUUUGCACACUCUUGGCCUUCUCUCAACCAGAUUCAUGAGGUAGUCACCCGGAAUGCAUUUAAAUUAAUAACAGGUGUGUUAAUUUGUGGAAUUUCUUUCCUUCUUAAUGUGUUUGAGCCAAUCAGUUGUGUUGUGACAAGGUAGGGGUGAUAUACAGAAGAUAGCCCUAUUUGGUAAAAGACCAAGUCCAUAUUAUGGCAAGAACAGCUCAAAUAAGCAAAGAGAAAUGACAGUCCAUCAUUGCUUUAAGACAUGAAUGUCAGUCAAUUCAGAAAAUGUCAAGAACUUUGAAAGUUUCUUCAAGUGAAAAAAACAUUAAGCGCUAUGAUGAAACUGGCUCUCAUGAGGACCUCCACAAGAAUGGAAGACCCAGAGUUACCUCUGCUGCAGAGGAUAAGUUAAAUAGAGUUAACUGCACCUCAGAUUGCAGCCCAAAUAAAUGCGCAACCGAGUUCAAGUAACAGACAAAUCUCAACAUCAACUGUUCAGAGGAGAUUGCGUGAAUCAGGCCUUCAUGGUCGAAUUCCUGCAAAGAAACCACUACUAAAGGACACCAGUAAGAAGAACAGACUUGCUUGGGCCAAGAAACACGCGCAUUGCACAUUAGACUGUCCUUGUGUCUAAUGAGUCCAAAUUUGAUAUUUUUGGUUCCAACCGCUGUGUCUUUGUGAGACGCAGAGGAGGUGAACAGAUGAUCUCUGCAUGUGUUGUUCCCACCAUGAAGCAUGGAGGAGGAGGUGCCAAACAUCAGCCUCGAAACCUUAAUGACUUGGAGAAGAUCUGCAAAGAGGAGUGGGACAAAAUCCCUCCUGAGAUGUGUGCAAACCUGGUGGCCAACUACAAGAAAUGUCUGACCUCUGUGAUUACCAACAAGGGUUUUGCCACCAAGUACUAAGUCAUGUUUUGCAGAGGGGUCAAAUACUUAUUUCCCUCAUUAAAAUGCAAAUCAAUUUAUAACAUUUUUGACAUGCGUUUUUCUGGAUAUUUUGGUUCUGUCUCUCACUGUUCAUUAAAAUGAUAGACUGAUCCUUUCUUUGUCAGUGGGCAAACAUACAAAAUCAGCAGGGGAUCAAAUACUUUUUUCCCCCACUGUAUGUGUUAUUUCAUAGUUGUGAUGAAAAAGAGAAAAAACCCUUGAAUGAGUAGGUGUGUCCAAACCUUUGUCUGUUUAUAUAUAUACUUUAAAUAUCUCUAUCUAUCUAUCUAUCUAUCUAUCUAUCUAUCUAUCUAUCUAUCUAUCUAUCUAUCUAUCUAUCUAUCUAUCUAUCUAUCUAUCUAUCUAUCUAUCUAUCUAUCUAUCUAUCUAUCUAUCUAUCUAUCUAUCUAUCUAUCUAUCUAUCUAUCUAUCUAUCUAUCUAUCUAUCUAUCUAUCUAUCUAUCUAUCUAUCUAUCUAUCUCAUGCACACACACACACACACAAAAAAAAGUUCUGGGACAUUGUAAAGUCCAUGGAGAAUAAGAACACCUCCUCCCAACUGCCCACUGCACUGAGGAUAGGAAACUCUGUCACCACCGAUAAGCCCACUAUAAUUGAGAAUUUCAAUAAGCAUUUUUCUACGGCUGGCCAUGCUUUCC